rnacentral:rRNA from 1 species
UACGAAGGGGGCUAGCGUUGCUCGGAAUCACUGGGCGUAAAGGGUGCGUAGGCGGGUCUUUAAGUCAGGGGUGAAAUCCUGGAGCUCAACUCCAGAACUGCCUUUGAUACUGAAGAUCUUGAGUUCGGGAGAGGUGAGUGGAACUGCGAGUGUAGAGGUGAAAUUCGUAGAUAUUCGCAAGAACACCAGUGGCGAAGGCGGCUCACUGGCCCGAUACUGACGCUGAGGCGCGACAGCGUGGGGAGCAAACAGGG